AACGAACGCUGGCGGCAUGCCUAACACAUGCAAGUCGAACGAGACCUUCGGGUCUAGUGGCGCACGGGUGCGUAACGCGUGGGAAUCUGCCCUUGGGUUCGGAAUAACAGUUAGAAAUGACUGCUAAUACCGGAUAAUGUCUUCGGACCAAAGAUUUAUCGCCCAGGGAUGAGCCCGCGUAGGAUUAGCUAGUUGGUGAGGUAAAGGCUCACCAAGGCGACGAUCCUUAGCUGGUCUGAGAGGAUGACCAGCCACACUGGGACUGAGACACGGCCCAGACUCCUACGGGAGGCAGCAGUGGGGAAUAUUGGACAAUGGGCGAAAGCCUGAUCCAGCAAUGCCGCGUGAGUGAUGAAGGCCUAGGUUGUAAAGCUCUUUUACCCGGGAUGAUAAUGACAGUACCGGAGAAGUAAGACCCCGGCCUAACUCCGUGCCAGCAGCCGCGGUAAU
rnacentral:rRNA from 1 species